rnacentral:rRNA from 1 species
AGAGUUUGAUCCUGGCUCAGAUUGAACGCUGGCGGUAUGCUUAAUACAUGCAAGUCGGACGGAAACGAUGGGAGCUUGCUCCCAGGCGUCGAGUGGCGGACGGGUGAGUAACGCGUAGGAAUCUGCCAAAUAGUGGGGAAUAGCCCGGGGAAACUCGGAUUAAUACCGCAUACUCCUUACGAGGGAAAGGGAGCCUCUUCUUGAAAGCUUUCGCUAUUUGAUGAGCCUGCGUUGAAUUAGCUUGUUGGUGAGGUAAAAGCUCACCAAGGCGACGAUUCAUAGCUGUUCUGAGAGGAAGAUCAGCCCACACUGGGACUGAGACACGGCCCCAGACUCCUACGGGAGGCAGCAGUAGGGAAUAUUGGAACAAUGGGGGAAAACCCUGAUCCAGCAAUACCGCCGUGUGUGAAGAAGGCCUGAGGGUUGUAAAGCACUUUUUAGUAUUGGAAAAAGGUGGGGUAAGUUAAAAAACCUUAUAACAUUGAUGUUAAAAAACCAAAAAAAGCACCGGCUAACUCCGUGCCAGCAGCCGCGGUAAUACGGAGGGUGCAAGCGUUAAUCGGAAUUACUGGGCGUAAAGCGUGCGUAGGUGGUUUGUUAAGUCAGAUGUGAAAGUCCUGAGCUUAACUUGGGUUUGUCAUGUGAAACUGUUUUGCUAGAGUCUGACAGAGGCGAGUGGAAUUUCCUGUGUAGCGGUGAAAUGCGCAGAUAUAGGAAAGAACACCAGUGGCGAAGGCGACUCGCUGGGUCAAGACUGACGCUGAGGUGCGAAAGCGUGGGUAGCAAACAGGAUUAGAUACCCUGGUAGUCCACGCCGUAAACGAUGAGAACUUGCUGUUGGGAUCCUUAGGGGUUUCAGUAGCGUAGCUAACGCGGUAAGUUCUCCGCCUGGGGAGUACGGUCGCAAGACUAAAACUCAAAGGAAUUGACGGGGACCCGCACAAGCGGUGGAGCAUGUGGUUUAAUUCGAUGCAACGCGAAGAGCCUUACCUGGUCUUGACAUACUCGGAACUUUUCAGAAAUGAAUUGGUGCCUUCGGGAGCCGAGAUACAGGUGCUGCAUGGCUGUCGUCAGCUCGUGUCGUGAGAUGUUGGGUUAAGUCCCGCAACGAGCGCAACCCCUAUCAUUAGUUACCAGCACUUCGGGUGGGAACUCUAAUGAGACUGCCGGUGACAAACCGGAGAAAAGGUGGGGACAACGUCAAGUCAUCAUGGCCCUUAUGACCAGGGCUACACACGUGCUACAAUGGGGCAUACAAAGAGUCGCGAGACAGCAAUGUUUAGCUAAUCUCAUAAAGUGCUUCGUAGUCCGGAUUGCACUCUGCAACUCGAGUGCAUGAAGUCGGAAUCGCUAGUAAUCGCAGAUCAGAAUGCUGCGGUGAAUACGUUCCCGGGUCUUGUACACACCGCCCGUCACACCAUGGAAGUGGGUUGCACCAGAAGUCAAUAGCUUAACCUUCGGGAGAGCAUUGCCCACGGUGUGAUUCAUGACUGGGAUGAAGUCGUAACAAGGUA